UGAUACAGUGUAAAUAACGUCCUUCACAAACAGUCUCAAGAAAAAGGAAGGUGGGUGUAAUUCCCCCGCUGUCCCGCAACUGUAAAUAUUCGGCGAGUAACUUUGCGAUGCCCCGAGUAUAAGCCAGACACUUGAUCUUGUGACUCAUAAAAC
rnacentral:ncRNA from 2 species